GGAUCGAUGAUGAUAACAAGUCUCUAAGGACGGUAAUCUACUUGUAACUAAGCCAAUCUGAGCUUC
rfam:Mesocricetus auratus contig197534, whole genome shotgun sequence.